AGAGUUUGAUUCUGGCUCAGAACGAACGCUGGCGGCGUGGAUAAGACAUGCAAGUCGAACGGGAGAAUUGCUAGCUUGCUAAUAAUUCUCUAGUGGCGCACGGGUGAGUAACACGUGAGUAACCUGCCUCUUAGUGGGGGAUAGCCCUGGGAAACCGGGAUUAAUACCGCAUACGAUUGAAAGAUCAAAGCAGCAAUGCGCUAGGAGAUGGGCUCGCGGCCUAUUAGUUAGUUGGUGAGGUAACGGCUCACCAAGGCGAUGACGGGUAGCCGGUCUGAGAGGAUGUCCGGCCACACUGGAACUGAGACACGGUCCAGACACCUACGGGUGGCAGCAGUCGAGAAUCAUUCACAAUGGGGGCAACCCUGAUGGUGCGACGCCGCGUGGGGGAAUGAAGGUCUUCGGAUUGUAAACCCCUGUCAUGUGGGAGCAAAUUAAAAAGAUAGUACCACAAGAGGAAGAGACGGCUAACUCUGUGCCAGCAGCCGCGGUAAUACAGAGGUCUCAAGCGUUGUUCGGAAUCACUGGGCGUAAAGCGUGCGUAGGCUGUUUCGUAAGUCGUGUGUGAAAGGCAGGGGCUCAACCCCUGGAUUGCACAUGAUACUGCGAGACUAGAGUAAUGGAGGGGGAACCGGAAUUCUCGGUGUAGCAGUGAAAUGCGUAGAUAUCGAGAGGAACACUCGUGGCGAAGGCGGGUUCCUGGACAUUAACUGACGCUGAGGCACGAAGGCCAGGGGAGCGAAAGGGAUUAGAUACCCCUGUAGUCCUGGCAGUAAACGGUGCACGCUUGGUGUGCGGGGAAUCGACCCCCUGCGUGCCGGAGCUAACGCGUUAAGCGUGCCGCCUGGGGAGUACGGUCGCAAGAUUAAAACUCAAAGAAAUUGACGGGGACCCGCACAAGCGGUGGAGUAUGUGGCUUAAUUCGAUGCAACGCGAAGAACCUUACCUGGGCUUGACAUGUAAUGAACAACAUGUGAAAGCAUGCGACUCUUCGGAGGCGUUACACAGGUGCUGCAUGGCCGUCGUCAGCUCGUGUCGUGAGAUGUUUGGUUAAGUCCAGCAACGAGCGCAACCCCUGUUGCCAGUUACCAGCACGUCAAGGUGGGGACUCUGGCGAGACUGCCCAGAUCAACUGGGAGGAAGGUGGGGACGACGUCAGGUCAGUAUGGCCCUUAUGCCCAGGGCUGCACACGUACUACAAUGCCCAGUACAGAGGGGGCCGAAGCCGCGAGGCGGAGGAAAUCCUGAAAACUGGGCCCAGUUCGGACUGUAGGCUGCAACCCGCCUACACGAAGCCGGAAUCGCUAGUAAUGGCGCAUCAGCUACGGCGCCGUGAAUACGUUCCCGGGUCUUGUACACACCGCCCGUCACAUCAUGGAAGCCGGUCGCACCCGAAGUAUCUGAAGCCAACCGCAAGGAGGCAGGGUCCUAAGGUGAGACUGGUAACUGGGAUGAAGUCGUAACAAGGUAGCCGUAGGGGAACCUGCGGC
rnacentral:rRNA from 1 species